UGAGCUGCAGAACGCAGAUCCUUCCCACCACUAAACCCAAAACCAGGGAGGACUUCCUAAAGUAUUUCCAUCAGUUCACUCUGGAUUCACAGUCGGUGCAUAACAACCUCAGUCUGUCCGAUGAGAACAGAGUAGCUACUUUCACUGCAUCAAUGCAUGCAUAUCCUGAUCAUCCGGACAGAUUUGAUACCUGGCCUCAGGUGUUGUGCAGAGAAAAUGUGUGUGGACGCUGUUACUGGGAGGUGGAGUGGAGCGGGAAUCAUGGUGUGGCUAUAGCAGUGUCAUAUAAGAGCAUCAGCAGGAAGGGACAGGGUACUGAGUGUAAAUUUGGAUAUAAUGAUCAGUCCUGGAGAUUGUUCUGCUCUGCCUCUGGAUACAUAUUCAGUCACAACAACAGGAAACGGGAUCUGCCGGUAGUCUCCAAAAUAGGCGUGUAUGUGGAUCAGAGAGCAGGAGUUCUGUCGUUCUUCAGAGUCUCUGACACAAAAAUGAGCCUCAUCCACAGAGUGCAGACCACAUUCACUCAACCGCUCUACCCUGGGUUUGGCUUAAACCGGGACUCAUCAGUGAAACUGUCAUCUAUGAUUUAGAGUUCUAAUCAUCAUGUAAGAGCUAUGAAAAGUAGCAUUUGUUUCAUUAAUAAACUCAAACAAUCUUCAACUUUAUCA
ensembl:processed_transcript